GACGAACGCUGGCGGCGUGCUUAACACAUGCAAGUCGAGCGGUAAGGCCCUUUCGGGGGUACACGAGCGGCGAACAGGUGAGUAACACGUGGGUGACCUGCCCUCAGCUCUGGGAUAAGCCUGGGAAACCGGGUCUAAUACUGGAUAUGACUCCAUGACGCAUGUUGUGGGGUGGAAAGCCUUGUGCGGCUGAGGAUGGGCCCGCGGCCUAUCAGCUUGUUGGUGGGGUGAUGGCCUACCAAGGCGACGACGGGUAGCCGGCCUGAGAGGGCGACCGGCCACACUGGGACUGAGACACGGCCCAGACUCCUACGGGAGGCAGCAGUGGGGAAUCUUGCGCAAUGGGCGAAAGACCUGACGCAGCGACGCCGCGUGAGGGAUGACGGCC
rnacentral:rRNA from 1 species